UACGUAGGGACCGAGCGUUGUCCGGAUUCAUUGGGUUUAAAGGGAGCGUAGGCGGUCUUAUAAGUCAGUGGUGAAAGCCGAUAGCUUAACUAUCGAAUUGCCAUUGAUACUGUAGGUCUAGAGUACAGAUGAUGUUGGCGGAAUAUGACAUGUAGCGGUGAAAUGCAUAGAUAUGUCAUAGAACACCGAUUGCGAAGGCAGCUGACAAAACUGUAACUGACGCUGAGGCUCGAAAGUGCGGGGAUCAAACAGG
rnacentral:rRNA from 1 species